rnacentral:rRNA from 1 species
GACGAACGCUGGCGGCGUGCUUAACACAUGCAAGUCGAACGGAAAGGCCCUGCUUGCAGGGUACUCGAGUGGCGAACGGGUGAGUAACACGUGGGUGAUCUGCCCUGCACUUCGGGAUAAGCCUGGGAAACUGGGUCUAAUACCGGAUAGGAGCCAUUUUUAGUGUGAUGGUUGGAAAGUUUUUUCGGUGUAGGAUGAGCUCGCGGCCUAUCAGCUUGUUGGUGGGGUAAUGGCCUACCAAGGCGGCGACGGGUAGCCGGCCUGAGAGGGUGGACGGCCACAUUGGGACUGAGAUACGGCCCAGACUCCUACGGGAGGCAGCAGUGGGGAAUAUUGCACAAUGGGCGCAAGCCUGAUGCAGCGACGCCGCGUGGGGGAUGACGGCCUUCGGGUUGAAAACUCCUUUCGCUAGGGACGAAGCUUUUUGUGACGGUACCUAGAGAAGAAGCACCGGCUAACUACGUG